UGGGGAAUUUUUCGCAAUGGGCGCAAGCCUGACGAAGCAACGCCGCGUGGAGGAUGACGGCCCUCGUGGUCUUAAACUCCUGUCUAGCGGGACGAAACUCUUACGGGUGAAUAAUCCGUGAGAUUGACUGUACUGCUGGAGGAAGCUCCGGCAAACUCCGUGCCAGCAGCCGCGGUAAUACGGAGGGAGCAAGCGUUACUCGGAAUCAUUGGGCGUAAAGGGCGCGUAGGCGAUUCGGUAAGUCUCAUGUGAAAGCCCACAGCCUAACUGUGGAAGUGCAUGAGAUACUGUCGAAUUUGAGUUCAGGAGAGGAAGGCAGAAUUCCCGGUGUAGCGGUGAAAUGCGUAGAUAUCGGGAGGAAUACCAGUGGCGAAGGCGGCCUUCUGGACUGACACUGACGCUGAGGCGCGAAAGCCAGGGGAGCAAACGG
rnacentral:rRNA from 1 species